GGCCCUUAUAAAAACCUGCUGUAUCUAGGUUCCUCGUGCCCUGACACUAAGAGGUUUUUCAGUGCGGGUGGCCCUUUCUCGCGAGAUCGUAAUAAAAAUUCCUUUCUGCCUUCUACCUGGAGAAGCCUCUGAAUUUAUUGGAAAUAAGGAUAGCUGUCCCACACAGCUUUUGGAGGUCCCACCGAGAUAUUUUUCCCGCCUGGGCUAGAUCGUCCCUAUCAGGAUCCUCGGGCAGGUACCCACUGGGAAUUUUUUUCCCAGCGGUCCCUGGAUCUUGUGGGAAGAACUCACCCCAGUGGGGUAAACCGUUCUCGAAGAAAGGAACUCAGGGAAGGCAGAAGCGAAAACAAGUGGAGCUCCAAUGGUGCUAGCGAAGACAGUCGACAGAGAAAACUGAUUUAUGGUCACGUAAAGUUUGUGUACACAGACCCAGGAAGCAAGAUCCCGUGAGUCCUUGGCACCUAAGCGGUUGGAGUCCGUAAGGCUGCCAGGGCCAAGAUCUGGCAGCUGGGGGUACAAUGGAUACAGUGCUGGACUUGGUGUUGAGAAGACCUGAGUUUAAAUCCAGUCUUAGACGCUUCUUAACUUUGCGAUUCUGGAUGAGUUUACUUUCUGAUCUGGCCAGUUGUCUGGGUCAGCAAAUACUAGGGCCUGACUGAAUUCAUAAGAGGUUCCAGUUCCUCUGCCUUAUCCCAAGACCACAAGGAUGACACAUACCCAGAAAACAGCCUGCAUAUGCAAUGUGUCUUAGCUUUGGCUGGCGCUAUGUGAACCUUUGGUUCUGAAAGAGAUCUUGGUGGUCAGAGCUGGUAGCUGAGUCAUCAGUGCUUUGGGAGACCUAAGGAAUUGUUUUUCUCAGAUGCUUUGUUGAAACUGGGUGGAGUGGACUGUCUUUGGAUUUGGCCAUAUGGUGCAGUGGAAAGAACACUAGCUCUGGAAGAAGGCCUAUAUUAAAAUCUUACCUAUGAUGUUUAUUACCCAUGGAACUUUGGACAAGUCACCUACAAUGUUUAAAAAGUGUGAAAGACCUAAUUUCUAAAUAAUUAAUCAUUUUAUUAU